rnacentral:misc_RNA from 1 species
GAAAUGCGAUAAGUAAUGUGAAUUGCAGAAUUCAGUGAAUCAUCGAAUCUUUGAACGCACAUUGCGCCCGCCAGUAUUCUGGCGGGCAUGCCUGUUCGAGCGUCAUUUCAACCAUCAAGCCCCGCUCUUGUGUUGGGGACCUGCGGCUGCCGCAGGCCCUGAAAACCAGUGGCGGGCUCGCUGUCACACCGGGCGUAGUAGAUUUUAUCUCGCUCAGGGCGUGCUGCGGGUUCCGGCCGUUAAAAAGCCUUUUUUACCCAAGGUUGACCUCGGAUCAGGUAGGAAGACCCGCUGAACUUAAGC